GAUUGUAAAUAAGUGAAUGUGUUUAACACUUGAUGUUACAUUAAUUAUAUCGUGAGCUAUGAAUUAUACAAUAACCUGACCAGUGUUAUCUUGAGAAAAGUGUAAAUGCGCAGUGUUAAAGAGAAAGUGUAGGUUUCCUAUUUAGGAACCAGCGUUAAAGAGAAAUUGUAGGUUCCUAUUUAGGAACCAGUGUUAAAGAGAAAGUGUAGGUUCCUAUUUAGGAACCAGUGUUAAAUUAUAGCGCAAUAUGUUGUACGUGUUUAAGACACGUGUGUGAGGUCGAG
rnacentral:lncRNA from 1 species